rnacentral:rRNA from 1 species
AAAGGCCUACCAAGGCGAUGAUGCAUAGCCGAGUUGAGAGACUGAUCGGCCACAUUGGGACUGAGACACGGCCCAAACUCCUACGGGAGGCAGCAGUAGGGAAUCUUCCACAAUGGACGAAAGUCUGAUGGAGCAACGCCGCGUGAGUGAAGAAGGUUUUCGGAUCGUAAAGCUCUGUUGUUGGUGAAGAAGGAUAGAGAGAGUAACUGAUCUUUAUUUGACGGUAAUCAACCAGAAAGUCACGGCUAACUACGUGCCAGCAGCCGCGGUAAUACGUAGGUGGCAAGCGUUGUCCGGAUUUAUUGGGCGUAAAGCGAGCGCAGGCGGAAAGAUAAGUCUGAUGUGAAAGCCCUCGGCUCAACCGGGGAACUGCAUCGGAAACUGUCUUUCUUGAGUGCAGAAGAGGAGAGUGGAACUCCAUGUGUAGCGGUGGAAUGCGUAGAUAUAUGGAAGAACACCAGUGGCGAAAGCGGCUCUCUGGUCUGUAACUGACGCUGAGGCUCGAAAGCAUGGGUAGCGAACAGGAUUAGAUACCCUGGUAGUCCAUGCCGUAAACGAUGAGUGCUAAGUGUUGGGAGGUUUCCGCCUCUCAGUGCUGCAGCUAACGCAUUAAGCACUCCGCCUGGGGAGUACGACCGCAAGGUUGAAACUCAAAGGAAUUGACGGGGGCCCGCACAAGCGGUGGAGCAUGUGGUUUAAUUCGAAGCAACGCGAAGAACCUUACCAGGUCUUGACAUCUAGCGCAAUCCCAAGAGAUUGGGAGUUCCCUUCGGGGACGCUAAGACAGGUGGUGCAUGGCUGUCGUCAGCUCGUGUCGUGAGAUGUUGGGUUAAGUCCCGCAACGAGCGCAACCCUUGUCAUUAGUUGCCAGCAUUAAGUUGGGCACUCUAAUGAGACUGCCGGUGACAAACCGGAGGAAGGUGGGGACGACGUCAAGUCAUCAUGCCCCUUAUGACCUGGGCUACACACGUGCUACAAUGGGCAGUACAACGAGCAGCGAGCCUGCGAAGGCAAGCAAAUCUCUGAAAGCUGUUCUCAGUUCGGACUGCAGUCUGCAACUCGACUGCACGAAGCUGGAAUCGCUAGUAAUCGCGGAUCAGCACGCCGCG